GAAACCUGCUCCAAGAAUGAAUAACUGCAAUUUAAUCUUCAUGAGUUGCACAAUUAGACAUCCGAGGAAGAAAUAGAGAAGAUCAAUUUCAAAUCCGCACUGAGUUUGCCAUUCAUCACUUUAUCGAAGAAAAAGGAAUAAACAGAGGUUAUUGUCAAUACCAAAAAUGCUGUAUGAGCUUUGAACCGGAGACUUCUCGAAUGUUGAAAUAAUCUUGCAAAUAAAAUCACCAAGCAUAUGAUGAAACUGAAAACACUAUAAAGAAAUAUUUUCAGCAAAUUCCAAUGUCCAAAGAGAUAGUUGAAGGAAGAGCUUAGAGCAUAACAGAGCAGUCCAACAACAGCCGAUGCGAAGCCUAUAAAUCUCCACACCUUUGGAUGCAUCAACCAUCUCCCAAUUUGAUUUAUGCAUUAUGUUGUCUACAGUGUAUGAUAAUUGGUUUCACAGACUGUGUGAGAGUGAGACUGAUCACCAACCAUUUUUGACUUCGGGUGUGAGAAGCAGAAGCUAUCUCUAAGUCAACUGAAAUUUCGAGGAAAUGGACCAAAGCU
rnacentral:lncRNA from 1 species